rnacentral:rRNA from 1 species
AGCGAACGCUGGCGGCAGGCCUAACACAUGCAAGUCGAACGAACUCUUCGGAGUUAGUGGCGGACGGGUGAGUAACACGUGGGAACGUGCCUUUUGGUUCGGAAUAACUCAGGGAAACUUGUGCUAAUACCGAAUGUGCCCUUCGGGGGAAAGAUUUAUCGCCAUUAGAGCGGCCCGCGUCUGAUUAGCUAGUUGGUGAGGUAACGGCUCACCAAGGCAACGAUCAGUAGCUGGUCUGAGAGGAUGACCAGCCACACUGGGACUGAGACACGGCCCAGACUCCUACGGGAGGCAGCAGUGGGGAAUCUUGCGCAAUGGGCGAAAGCCUGACGCAGCCAUGCCGCGUGAAUGAUGAAGGUCUUAGGAUUGUAAAAUUCUUUCACCGGGGACGAUAAUGACGGUACCCGGAGAAGAAGCCCCGGCUAACUUCGUG